CUGAAAUGAUGAGUCACAUGACACUGCCCCAGUCUGAAAGCUGUGACUGAGAGGUGUUUAUCUCUGAUUGA